rnacentral:lncRNA from 10 species
CACCAUGUAAGACUUCCUUUUGUUCUUCCUUCAUCUUCUGCCCUGAUUGUGAGGCCUCCCCAGCCAUUUGGAACUGUCAACAGUUCUCAGUUUUUGGUCCCUGAGGAGCAGCAUCAUCAUCACCUAGGAACUUGUUAGAAAGGAUACUCUAGUCAUCUUCAUAUAAAAUGAUCAAGGUGAAGAAAUAUAAAAUGAUCAAGGUGAAGAAAAUAACCAAGUUUCAGGUGACUCCACUGAAAAACAAGCCCCUGUGACUCACUUUAUCAUUGAGACCUGGCUAAGAAAUGGGUGUAAGGAAAAAGAGCUGGGCAUGGUGGCUACGCCUGUAAUUCCAGCAUUUUGGGAGGCUGAAGGAGGUGGAUCGCUUGAGAUCAGGAGUUCGAGACCAGCCUGGCCAACAUGGUGAAACCCCGUCUCUACUAAAAAUACAAAAAUUAGCCAGGUGUGAUGGUGCGCACCUGUAGUCCCAGCUACUGGGGAGGCUGAGGCAUGAGAAUUGCUUGAACCCAGGAGGCCGAAGUUGCGGUGAGUUGAGAUGGUGCCACUGCACUCCAACCUGGGCGACAGAGUGAGAACUCCACCUCAAAAAACAAAUAAACAAAAAAAAAGUUUUCCCUUUUCUGAAUAUCAGUUUCACCUUGCACAGAAUUGGAAUAGAGAUAGCAAUUUUAUACAUUUUGGGAAAUGUUUAAUGAUAUCACAGAUAUUGUGUGCCUGGUAUAGGUUUUGAUAAAUUUUAACUAUUUCUAGCCCCUUCUCUCCUCUUCCAGUUUCUCUGCAAGGGAGGUAGGGAGAAAUGAAUAUUAAAAGUCAAAUUGGUAUUCGCUGAAGUCAUUUAAUAAAUGUUUCUUGAGCAUCUACUUUGUUACAGACUAGAGAUACAAAGAUGAAUGAGUUAGUAUUCACAUCCUCAAGGAACUCAUUUUAGUAUAAUGAUUAUUAAACCAAGAAUAAUAAGAUAUGCAUAAAUAAAAAUUUCUCCUCAUAGAGCAUGAAAAUAUCAAUCCUGCACUUACCACUAUUCUCCCUUGUACCUGAAAAAAUUAUUACUUUAAUAUUCUUAGUUUUUAUAUUUUUUAAUUAUACUUUAAAUAUAUAGCUAAACAUUUAGACAAACACAACAAUCUAUAUCCAUUCAGGUUUAAUUAGUGUCAUUGAAUUUUUCAGGUUUCUUUAUUCUUCCUAGUGAUAUCAUAUUAAAUUUGCAGUUUUAAAACAAAUACUAUAAAAACAGUAUGAAAGAAGUUUAUUUUUAGGACUGUUGAAUGAUUUUUUUAAUGAACAAAUGAGAAAGAGUGUUUUCAUAUAGCAUGCGUUAAGGAAAAAAUUAUCCAUUUGAAAAAACUUUUAUUUUUAAUUUACCACUCAAUGUUCAUUAAACAGAGAAUUGUUGUGGAUCUGUGCACGGUUCAGAAAAGUGAAUAUCAAUGAAAUAUAGCACACACAACAGUUGAAUGGUCCCUAAAUUGUUAUUACUAUCAUUUCAAUUAUUUAUGCAGUAAACUGUAUAAUAUAACAAUAACAUUAAAAGAUGAAUACAGACCUUAGCUCCCUGAUGUGCUACUUCUUCCUCCAAAUCAUAUUUACAAUUAACCAGAAGUUGGAAUUCCAAGUCUUAUUGAGAAAUAGUUCACUUGCUUUUGAAUUGUACCAGCUUCUUCUCCGAGUCUCCCUACUGAACUCCAUGUCUGAUGAAACAUUUAUUUGAACAAACAAAAUACAUAUGUACAAAUAAAUACAAGUGUCAGGAGCUGACAUACGAAUGCAAACACAUGUCUUUCCCCAGGCCCACUAUGACACCGUGACAGGCUAAAGAGCCUUUUGAAUGGAAACUACAUAAAGCAUCAAGCCCCUGAAAAGAAUGACCAGACAAAAGUGCCACAAUCAAUUGAAUGUCUUUAGGAGAUACACUUUUCUUUUAAAAAGCGUGACGCUUUGAUGACUCAGUGGCAGGACAGGUGACAAAGGAAUGGCUGCCUGGAGGCUGUGCAUGGCAGGAGGAGACACCACAGUCUUCCCGCCCUGCCACCCGUCCCUGCCGCCUGACUGUGGAAGGAUGAAGGACACUUUUAGAAAUUUCCCUGCGCGGAGAUGCCAGGAAACCAAUCAUCGCCCAGCCACUUUGUGGGGCCAUUAGCAGAGCGUCAAACUCCAUCUUUGUUUAAACGAAAGCACAAAGAAAAUAAUUUUUCAUCUGAGGAAUCACCUUAAGAUCCCCAAAUGGAAAGUAAGGGGAGCAGUAAACCUCUCACUCCGGGUGGGCAGCUCUAACACAGGGCAUUAAGGUAAGAAGGUUAUUUAUGACAGAAGAAAGGAGACAGGAUUCCAAAGUGGGAGACGAAGGACAGAGGUGAUUGGAGCCUAGCUUUAUCCCCUGCCCCAUUCAAAUGCGGAGGGCAAUGACUUCCAUAAGAAACCAGGUGCCACACGUGACCCAAAGGCAAAAGCCUCACUUUAACUCCUUGAUAUGGUCUGGCUGUGUUCCCACCCAAAAUCUCAUCUGGAAUUGUAGUCCCCAUAAUCCCUGUGUGUGUCAAGGGCAGAACCAGGUGGAGGUAAUCGGAUCAUGGGGGCGUUUCCCCCAUGCUGUUCUCGUGAUAGUGAGUGAGUCUCACGAGAUCUGAUGGUUUAAUAAGCGUCUGGCAUUUCCCCUGCUGGCACUCAUUCUUUCUCCUGCUGUCCUGCGAAGAGGUGCCUUCUGCCAUGAUUGUUAGUUCCUGAGGCCUCCCCAGCCAUGCGAACUGUGAGUCAAUUAAACUUGUUUUCUUUAUAAAUCACCCCGUCUCAGGUAUUUCUUCAUAGCAGCAUGAGAAUGGACUAAUAGGCUCCUCUUCCAGGUAAGUUAGGCAGAGUACGUUUCCUCCACAAAACAAAAGAUGGUUGCCUCAGAAUGCCUCCUAACUUUGCCUGCAAGAAGCCUGCAGUAAGACCUUUUCUUAGGGCCAGUCUGAAGGCCACACCCUCCCCUUAUCCCCUAAUUUUGGAUGCAAAAGGUCUCCCUGAGACUUCAGGUGAAGAGGAUUUGACUUUGGAAUCUGGGAUUCACUUUUCAGACUGACCUUCUGCUAUAUUUUGUUUUGCUUCUCUGGGAUUUCAAGCUUGAGAAUAGAGUAAGGAAAAAAGUUCUGUGUUCUCCUUUGGGAAAUUAUUUUCCCUGGUCCCCUUGGUCAGAGGGUAGCAGGUAAGUCUUGAUGGGAUUGUUCUGUGUUUCCAGGCUUCCCUCUGGAAUUAAUCUCAGAGGCAUGGAAGGGAGCCUGAUGGACUCUUCUGGGCUGUGUCCCAGUCAGGAAGCGAGAUCUUUCUAAUUCCCAGACAGGCCAGCGCUUUCUGCUGAACAGAGGCCUGCUAGACCCUGAGUAGGGGAAGCCCAGGCUGCUUCUGAGGCAAAUGAUGACCUUAAUCAUUUUCAGAGGUAUGGUUUUCACCUGGGAAGGGACGUGAGACGGCAACAAGGCAUUCAGUGAAUAUUUAUGAGUGAGCGGAAAAAACUCUUUCCUCCUGUACGUGGCAGAAAGGGUAGCUGGAAGCUGUGCCAAUGUAGGAGACCAGGAAUUCCUAGCCUGGGAGGAAGGAAGGGCAGGGAUGCAAAGGGACAGAGGGAGAAGAGGAAGCAAAUUCCAGCCAGGCUGGCUCUCCUAGGAGGAGUGGCAGUGAUGAAACCCUCUUCUUUAGACUCUGUCUUAGAGAAGGAUGGGGCCCGAAGAGGUUUCCUCUUUCAGCAAGUGUUGGGGUGUGUGUGUGUGUGCGGGGAUUUAAUCAGGGGAUCUACGAGCACAUUCACAGACCCUUAGCUACUAGUGCUGCCCAAUUCCAAGCAUGUUUAGCUUUAAGUACCUCUUGUCUGGUAAUCCAGGGCCAGAUAUCUGGAGGUGGGAACUGGCUGCCAUAGCCUGUUGCUCCCCACAAGGAUGAGGACAAGGGCUCCACUGGGCACCUUUCCUAGGCAUGGCCAGGGUUGUUAUAAAGCAUAGGGUGGGAGGGUGGUUGUGGCUUUCUGUGGUAUAGCUACUGAUCAAUGUAGCAUUUGAUUGAUCCAUUUUCUCCAGAGGAGAAGGGAGUGUGGUGGGAAAAUCCUGAGGCUGAGGAGGUGGAUACUUACAGGUCCUGGUCCAACUGACUGGGAUCUUAGGAUCACUCCCUUCUCCAACCUGAGUGGUUCCCCGCCUUUUUUUUUUUUUUUUUUUUUUUUUUGAGAUGUAGUCCCACCCUGUUGCCCAGGCUGGAGUGCGGUGGCAUGAUCUCGACUCACUGCAAGCUCCGCCUCCCGGGUUCACGCCAUUCUCCUGCCUCAGCCUCCAGAGUAGCUGAGACUACAGGCACCUGCCACCACGCCUGGCUAAUUUUUUGUAUUUUUAGUAGAGAUGGGGUUUCACCGUGUUAACCAGGACAGUCUCGAUCUCCUGACCUCGUGAUCUGCCUGCCUCGGCCUCCCAGAGUGCUGGGAUUACAGGCGUGAGCCACCAUGCCUGGCCAACAUUUUUUUUUUUUUUUUUUUUAAUUACAGAAUCAUCUGACAAAGGAACUCUUUUAAGGAGCCUUAACAUAUCAAAAGAUCAAGGCAGAGCCGCCCUCAUUGAAGGGUUUGGAGGACCUGGAGCUUACCCUCUUCUCUCCUUCCCUGACUGGGAG